GUGAGGAAUAUUGGACAAUGGGCGAAAGCCUGAUCCAGCCAUGCCGCGUGUGUGAAGAAGGUCUUCGGAUUGUAAAGCACUUUAAGUUGGGAGGAAGGGCAUUAACCUAAUACGUUAGUGUUUUGACGUUACCGACAGAAUAAGCACCGGCUAACUUCGUGCCAGCAGCCGCGGUAAUACAGAGGGUGCAAGCGUUAAUCGGAAUUACUGGGCGUAAAGCGCGCGUAGGUGGUUUUGUAAGUUGGAGGUGAAAUCCCCGGGCUCAACCUGGGAACUGCCUCCAAAACUGCAUGACUAGAGUACGGUAGAGGGUAGUGGAAUUUCCUGUGUAGCGGUGAAAUGCGUAGAUAUAGGAAGGAACACCAGUGGCGAAGGCGACUACCUGGACUGAUACUGACACUGAGGUGCGAAAGCGUGGGGAGCAAACAGGAUUAGAUACCCCGGUAGUCC
rnacentral:rRNA from 1 species